rnacentral:ribozyme from 1 species
GAGCUCGUCUAUAAUCCAGCGCUUGCCUGCAUUAGACAUGCUAGAAUCCAGUUAGAAUCAUGACUCUUCUGGCAAAUUACCUGAAAACAGGUUGCUGGCAAGUGUGGUGUGUGCUCCGGCCGUCAAGCAUACGGGACUGCUUUUGGUG